rnacentral:rRNA from 1 species
AGACCCGAAACCCGGUGAUCUAGCCAUGGGCAGGUUGAAGGUUGGGUAACACUAACUGGAGGACCGAACCGACUAAUGUUGAAAAAUUAGCGGAUGACCUGUGGCUGGGGGUGAAAGGCCAAUCAAACCGGGAGAUAGCUGGUUCUCCCCGAAAGCUAUUUAGGUAGCGCCUCGUGAAUUCAUCUCCGGGGGUAGAGCACUGUUUCGGCUAGGGGGCCAUCCCGGCUUACCAACCCGAUGCAAACUGCGAAUACCGGAGAAUGUUAUCACGGGAGACACACGGCGGGUGCUAACGUCCGUCGUGAAGAGGGAAACAACCCAGACCGCCAGCUAAGGUCCCAAAGUCAUGGUUAAGUGGGAAACGAUGUGGGAAGGCCCAGACAGCCAGGAUGUUGGCUUAGAAGCAGCCAUCAUUUAAAGAAAGCGUAAUAGCUCACUGGUCGAGUCGGCCUGCGCGGAAGAUGUAACGGGGCUAAACCAUGCACCGAAGCUGCGGCAGCGACGCUGAUGCGUUGUUGGGUAGGGGAGCGUUCUGUAAGCCUGCGAAGGUGGCCUGUGAGGGUUGCUGGAGGUAUCAGAAGUGCGAAUGCUGACAUAAGUAACGAUAAAGCGGGUGAAAAGCCCGCUCGCCGGAAGACCAAGGGUUCCUGUCCAACGUUAAUCGGGGCAGGGUGAGUCGACCCCUAAGGCGAGGCCGAAAGGCGUAGUCGAUGGGAAACGGGUUAAUAUUCCCGUACUUGGUGUUACUGCGAAGGGGGGACGGAGAAGGCUAUGUUGGCCGGGCGACGGUUGUCCCGGUUUAAGCGUGUAGGUGUGUGUUCCAGGUAAAUCCGGUUCACUUUAACACUGAGGCGUGAUGACGAGGCACUACGGUGCUGAAGCAACAAAUGCCCUGCUUCCAGGAAAAGCCUCUAAGCAUCAGGUAACAUCAAAUCGUACCCCAAACCGACACAGGUGGUCAGGUAGAGAAUACCAAGGCGCUUGAGAGAACUCGGGUGAAGGAACUAGGCAAAAUGGUGCCGUAACUUCGGGAGAAGGCACGCUGACACGUAGGUGAAGUGAUUUACUCAUGGAGCUGAAGUCAGUCGAAGAUACCAGCUGGCUGCAACUGUUUAUUAAAAACACAGCACUGUGCAAACACGAAAGUGGACGUAUACGGUGUGACGCCUGCCCGGUGCCGGAAGGUUAAUUGAUGGGGUCAGCGCAAGCGAAGCUCCUGAUCGAAGCCCCGGUAAACGGCGGCCGUAACUAUAACGGUCCUAAGGUAGCGAAAUUCCUUGUCGGGUAAGUUCCGACCUGCACGAAUGGCGUAAUGAUGGCCAGGCUGUCUCCACCCGAGACUCAGUGAAAUUGAACUCGCUGUGAAGAUGCAGUGUACCCGCGGCAAGACGGAAAGACCCCGUGAACCUUUACUAUAGCUUGACACUGAACAUUGAGCCUUGAUGUGUAGGAUAGGUGGGAGGCUUUGAAGUGUGGACGCCAGUCUGCAUGGAGCCGACCUUGAAAUACCACCCUUUAAUGUUUGAUGUUCUAACGUGGACCCGUGAUCCGGGUUGCGGACAGUGUCUGGUGGGUAGUUUGACUGGGGCGGUCUCCUCCUAAAGAGUAACGGAG